UAUUGCUAGAGAAUACCAAGCAACUAGAGUAUCGCCGUGGCCUAUAGCUUACAAGCAUGGCAUCUCGUCUCUGACCUCAUUCCUUGGAAGCUGCAGCUUGGCCUGAUCAUUGUUAAACUUCAAUUCCGCCUUCCAUCAGUGACCAUGAACUUGUUCAAUUCUUAUAAUUUGCACCUAUUUGUGGUUGGGAUUGUGGUGAAGUAUGCUUGCUCAGCUCUUGGAAAUACUUUUUUUUUUGUCAGAGAGAAUUUUGAAAGAGAGAGUUGGCAUGGAGUUCUAUAUUUAAUUGUUUUCCUUAUCUUUUCCCCUA